UACGUAGGGCGCAAGCGUUGUCCGGAAUUAUUGGGCGUAAAGAGCUCGUAGGCGGCCUGUUACGUCUGCUGUGAAAUCCCGGGGCUUAACCCCGGGCGUGCAGUGGAUACGGGCAGGCUAGAGUUCGGCAGGGGAGACUGGAAUUCCUGGUGUAGCGGUGAAAUGCGCAGAUAUCAGGAGGAACACCGGUGGCGAAGGCGGGUCUCUGGGCCGAUACUGACGCUGAGGAGCGAAAGCGUGGGGAGCGAACAGG
rnacentral:rRNA from 1 species